AUUGAACGCUGGCGGCAGGCCUAACACAUGCAAGUCGAGCGAGCGGCGGACGGGUGCGUAAUGUAUGGGGACUGCCCGAUAGCGGGGGAUAACUACUGGAAACGGUAGCUAAUACCGCAUACUAUCGGAUAACCCAUAUGGGAUUAGCUAGUGGGUGAGGUAAUGGCCAACCAAGGCGACGAUCCCUAGCUGGUCUGAGAGGUUGAUCGGCAACACUGGUACUGAGACACGGCCCAGACUCCUACGGAGGCAGCAGUGGGGAAUCUUCGACAAUGGACGAAAGCUUGACCGAGCAAUGCCGCGGGAGUGAAGAAGGCUUUAGGUUUGUAAAACUCUGUUGGUAGAGAAGCGGUAUCUAAAGAGAAAGCCCCGGCUAACUCCGUGCCAGCAGCCGCGGUAAUUC
rnacentral:rRNA from 1 species